rnacentral:rRNA from 1 species
GACGAACGCUGGCGGCGUGCUUAACACAUGCAAGUCGAACGGAAAGGCCCUGCUUUUGUGGGGUGCUCGAGUGGCGAACGGGUGAGUAACACGUGAGUAACCUGCCCUUGACUUUGGGAUAACUUCAGGAAACUGGGGCUAAUACCGGAUAGGAGCUCCUGCUGCAUGGUGUGGGUUGGAAAGUUUCGGCGGUUGGGGAUGGACUCGCGGCUUAUCAGCUUGUUGGUGGGGUAGUGGCUUACCAAGGCUUUGACGGGUAGCCGGCCUGAGAGGGGGACCGGCGACAUUGGGACUGAGAUACGGCCCAGACUCCUACGGGAGGCAGCAGUGGGGAAUAUUGCACAAUGGGCGGAAGCCUGAUGCAGCAACGCCGCGUGCGGGAUGACGGCCUUCGGGUUGUAAACCGCUUUCGCCUGUGACGAAGCGUGAGUGACGGUAAUGGGUAAAGAAGCACCGGCUAACUACGUG